rnacentral:rRNA from 1 species
CACGUAGGCGGACCAGAAAGUUGGGGGUGAAAUCCCGGGGCUCAACCCCGGAACUGCCUCCAAAACUCCUGGUCUGGAGUCCGAGAGAGGUGAGUGGAAUUCCGAGUGUAGAGGUGAAAUUCGUAGAUAUUCGGAGGAACACCAGUGGCGAAGGCGGCUCACUGGCUCGGUACUGACGCUGAGGUGCGAAAGCGUGGGGAGCAAACA